UUUCCGUAGGUGAACCCGCGGAAGGAUCAUUACUGAGUGAGGGCCCCUCGGGGUCCAACCUCCCACCCGUGUUUAACGAACCUUGUUGCUUCGGCGGGCCCGCCUCACGGCCGCCGGGGGGCAUCCGCCCCCGGGCCCGCGCCCGCCGAAGCCACCUGUGAACGCUGUCUGAAGUAUGCAGUCUGAGACAAUUAUUAAAUUAAUUAAAACUUUCAACAACGGAUCUCUUGGUUCCG
rnacentral:misc_RNA from 1 species